UACAGAGGGUGCAAGCGUUAAUCGGAAUUACUGGGCGUAAAGCGUGCGUAGACGGUUGCGUAAGUCAGAUGUGAAAGCCCCGGGCUCAACCUGGGAAUUGCAUUUGAGACUGCGUAGCUAGGGUGCGGAAGAGGGAAGCGGAAUUUCCGGUGUAGCGGUGAAAUGCGUAGAUAUCGGAAGGAACACCAGUGGCGAAAGCGGCUUCCUGGUCCAGCACCGACGUCAGGCACGAAAGCGUGGGAGCAAACAGGG
rnacentral:rRNA from 1 species